rnacentral:sRNA from 1 species
UUUGUUGGUCAGUACUAGUGUUGAAUUCAAGAACCUCUAAGAAUUCAGCCAAUGACAAAAUUUGAAGAGUGGAGCUCACUUUUGAAUCUGUCUGUUAUUUCAGAACCUCUGCAUUUCCUACUGUGCUCUGCUACCCAGAAUGCAUCUUAUGUGCUAAAAGUCUACAGCUCAGACAGUGCUAACAGAAGAAAUGACCCCCUCGGCAUUCCUGAAGCCACAGAAAUUCUCUCUGUAGCAUUUCAAUCGAUACUUGGAGUCUUAAGGGGAGGACAGCAUUCCUUGAAAAUCCUGGAGAGGAGUUACAUAGGAGAAGAGUUUGAUGUAAGAUCGAGAAAAUAGCUGUCAUGGAUGGGAUGGAUGACAGAGGCCCAGAGCGCCCUCAGAGAAAUCCUUCCAAACAAGCAUGCUGUGCUUACCCAGGGCAUAAUAUUUGAUUGUAUCCAGUGAACAUAACUGCGGGAAUUAGUCUUGGAAAUGCAAUCACCUAUCUCAAGUAUUUGACUCAAGGACUUGCUUCAGCCUCUGAUUCUACAGCUUGCCGAUGGGCCAUAAGAAAGAAGCAUUGUUAUGUGACCUUCAGAACAUGACAGAUGAGUAGCAAAAUAAAUGAUGCAUUUAAUAGGCUUGGCUAUACAGGGCAUUCCCCUGCUUCAGCACUGAGGUCUUAUUUAUAGCCUCUUCUUAACUGAGUUUCUUUGUGUGGGAGCUGUGAAAAGCCAUUAUGGUCAAAACCUUUUGCAGGAUUUAUUAUUAGAAUAUUUUGAAAAUUUCUAUGUAGAAAACAGAAGCUGGAAACCCAUUGUGUAUCUAUUGUGUA